UGUUGAGCGCCGGGGGCCCCCUGACCCCCCCUGUGACCCGGCUCCACGCUCAGAACAUGAUUGCUUUUGUUCUGUGGAGAAUAUUUAAAUGGGUCUUUAUAAAAGCCAGGAGUUGUGUGGGUCAUAACAGCGGUACAGAUGCUGCUGCUGCGUGUCUGCAGGGUUAACAAAGCUCCCCGCUGCAUGCUUAGAAUGAUCCAGACUGCACAUUCACUGCAAUUUAGCUUGAGUAAUAGAUGGGGGUCACGCUAGGUCACUUUCAAUUUCCACUUCCAGCGGAGAAAAAUGAAAACAACUCAUUUGCACAAAUCUGAAUAAUUCAGUCAGUCAAAAAACGAGAGAAAUGAAAAUAUGGGCAUGAAGAGAGGAUAAAGGAAGAGGAGGGAGACACUGUUGCAUCUCGUGCGGUAAUGACGGCCGGCCUCUUAGUCGUCUUGCAUAAAGGCUAAUGAUGAAUCUGACAGAGGAUAUGAAUCCAGAUAGCUGCUGAGAAUGAAAAUUGGAGACGCUGCUCUGGUUGGUGGAUAGAGGAGAGAUGAAGCUCGUCCCGGCGGAGGCGAUGAUCAGAAAGUGCACGCGGUGAUGGAUGACAUUCAACAUGGACUCGCCAAAAUAUGAACUUGGAAUAAAAUCAAAAGCGAUGUGAUUUUCUUUUGAAAGUUGUUGUGAUGUCAGACAGCAGAUAAACAGUCGCAGAAGAAGAAGAAACAACUAGAUGACGUCAUUAAAAGAGUUGAAGCUCAAUCGAUGGAGAACAUGAUGGAAAUAUGACGUUUCUGUUAGUUUCAUGUGUUGAUGU